ensembl:snoRNA small nucleolar RNA SNORA5
CGCAGCUUUGUCAAAUUCGGUGCCACUCUCUGUGGGUCGCACCGGCCAAAAAGGCUGCAACAGUGACUGUAGUUCAUGGGCCCCAGGCUCCCUCAUUGUGGGCACUGGGGACAAAAUGUACUACAUACAAUG